rnacentral:lncRNA from 1 species
GGACAAUCCAGUCACGCAGAACUGACAAAACCUUGUCCAGUAAGAAGGUAAGAAUCUUCUUCAAUAGAGAAUACGUCAACGUCUCCGUGAACGAAGAGAUCUGCUGGUUCCAAGGACUUGUCGUGGAUUUCUGUCCUAGAUACUUUCUUCCGUAAUUCAAGAUAAAGAAAAUUACAAUCUCUGCUGUCCAUUCCAUCGCUUUUCCCUUCAGAAUCAUAAUCAGAGAAUCCUUGCAGAACGUCGUGAGUGUGCUCUCAGCUGCAAUCACCAGAAGGACUCUUCACACUCGGAACACUUCCAAGAAGUUUCUCCUCCUCUAUGAUGAAACCAACACAAGAAAGCCAAAAGGGCGUUUAACCCCUUGAAGCACUGAGAGUUUCCCUGCUGAUAUUCUUAGACUGUUCUUUUUCUAAAACGAGAAAGAGGUAAGUUCUCUUUUUUUUUUUACACUGCCCAAAACUCUCUCUGCUCAGUGCUGGGCACUGGAAAACAAUGGCCCUCUCUCUGGAAACCACUAUCUGCCAUCUCAAGGGCCCACUACAGGUCUGCCCAGCAUUUUCAUCCCUUCCUCAAGUCUGGUGCCCAGGACCCUCC